UUUAGUGAAUAUGCGAGUGCGCUUGAUUGUGUGUGUAUGUGUAUAUAUAUAUAUACACACACACACACACACACACAAUCAAGCGCACUCGCAUAUA
rnacentral:miRNA from 1 species